rnacentral:lncRNA from 1 species
CUUUUAUACCUUUUAAAGGCUAAUUUUGUUUGCUUUUUGUUUGCAAAUAGGAAAAAUGGUGGUUGCUGUCAAGAACUGUGAAAAGGUUAAGAUUUUUAUCCUUCUUGCAAGCUAACAAGUUAGACUGUCACACUUUCAUGGAUGCUGACUGAAGACACGAGGCUCUUGGGAAACUUCAGACACCAGAAUAAAGACUUCAUGGGGAUGCGUAAAAUACAGAAUUUAAAGAACCAGUUGAUAUGACAGAUGUUCCCUUCCCGUUGUGUCAGACACGAAGAUAAAAUAAGAUUGAAAUGAAGUAAUAGAAGUAAAACAAUACUUCCAGAGACUGGAAUCGCACUCACAUCUUCAAUAUAAUCAGGCUGGACAACUGCAAAAAGGGGAAAAUUAGGUAAGAUCAAAUAAAACUGAUGAUAAGUGAGAUCUCCUCCCUUCA